rnacentral:lncRNA from 1 species
CUGAGUGUCUUAUCUCGAGAGCUCUGAUGCCUUCUAGUUUUGUCGUCUCUACUGGAAUGUUCGGUUUCUGUUCUGCUUUUACUCUUUCUCGAUUCCGGAGAAUGAUGUCGUCUGGAAUUUCUCUCGCGGGAUCUACUGCCCGCAUUAUCUUUACUGGCUUCUGUGUUUCUGUUAUGUCUAGAGGAUUCGCUGGACUUUUUGGAAAGCUUCGAAGAUUUAACUACUUCCGGUGACUUCUGCUUCGAUUCUUUCUCGGCAGGAUAUCCUUCCGGACUACUAAAAUAUAAAAUUUAAAAAUUUCGCAUCAAUAAUCGCAAUUAGCCAUGGCCAAAAUGAACUUAAUACCAAUUUACGGUUACCAUCUCCAAUUAAUUAUUUUAUAUAAAUAAACCAUCGAAAUGCCGGAU